rnacentral:precursor_RNA from 9 species
CCAAAGAGCACUGAUGAUUUGCACAGCACGCGGUAGCAGAGGUGCUGCGAUACGCUGUGUAGUAUCAUAUCACAGUUCUUUGCUACCUCGUGCUUCGCAUUUAUACGUCUGGCUUCGCUG